GUCAUCACUCACCAUAUGCAGAGAUAUGCAGUGUGGUUUGGUGGAUCAAUGUUAGCAUCAACUCCUGAAUUCUACCAGGUGUGCCACACCAAGAAGGACUACGAAGAGAUCGGGCCGAGCAUCUGCCGCCACAACCCUGUGUUCGGAGUCAUGUCUUAACUCUGGGGGUUGGGGGGGCGUUAGACGGUUUAAGGACAGGCUCAGGAGGUGCUUUUGAUGACUUAUUCUGCUCUGGAUGUGUGGGAUGAGAAACCAGAAUAUAAAAAGAGAGACCAGACCAAACACAGACCGGUUGGAAAUGUAUUGUGAAUGUUCCUAUUUUCUUUCUUUCCGUUUUUUUUUCUUGUCAAAAUGAGGGAAAAUGGUUCGUAAAGCCAAAACCUUUGGAUCUGUUGAGCAACAUGCAGUGAGUGAUAAUGAUAACGUUUAUGAUGACUAUAAAGCAGCAUUGGUGGAGAACUUGCAUGUUGAUACAAAUAUUGAAAGUAAUUUCCUGACAGCAGAACAUAUUAUUUAUGUUUAUCAAACACGAGUCCAGGCCAGAUCCCAUGACUCUUGAGAUUAUUGACAAGUUUAGAACAUAAUAUUGUCUACUUUUAUUAUCUGCACAUGUCUGUGUACCACGGCAAGAGCUUGUUUAUAUUUCAUACAAAAGUUUUUUAUAUGUAAAACUUGGGAAAUCAGGGGUAAAAAAUGAAUAGAUAUCAACGAAAGACUGUUUUAACCCACGAUGCAGCUUUGACACGCAGUAUUUUCUUGAGUUUGAGUUGGUGUUCUCCUAUUAUUCCCCACGUCUCAUUGCUGUCCCCCCUUCUUCAUACAGUACUUUUAAUUCCCAUCUGCUUUCACAAUGUCAGGAUUCCACCUCAGUGAUACAGUGAAAGAGAAGAGCUAUAAAGAUGAAACAAAUAAGAACGUCUGUAAGACCAGUAUUAGACUAGAAGUUUUUUAUAAUUAAAUGCCAAAUUAUUAAAAUAAUGGGAUUUGUGUAUUUAAUGCCUUGCAAAAUUCCAAUAAAGGCUUACAUUUGUUUCUAA